ACUGCAGUCAUAGCUAAAAACUAAGUCAUAUUACUACUGAUAUCUGAGGCCUUUAUUGAAUGGGAUUCAUCAAUCACCGCCUUGAUAACUGGAAGCCUAUUCCAGCACAGAAUGAUCCAACAGAAGUAUACAGCUAUCCUCUUUAAAUGCACGUUUGGCAACCGAAACUCCAUGAUUUAGGUCACCUCACUUAAUUGUUAAAAUAGAAUAGUUUGAAAAAAAAAUAGUUUUGGGCAGACCCUUUAAAUGUUUUGGUCUCACACCAAGAUUGUGAUCAUUGGGGAUCAUUGUAAGGUUCAGACCGCAAUUUCAAUUGUUUAUUCAUGAACAGACAAUAUGACCUAGUAAAACACAAGAUGGCUAGUAGCUCAAAAAGUCGCAGUAUCUUCUGUAAGUAUGUUGGGUGCUCUUGGGUGAAGGGGGUCAGUCCAAUUCAACAAAAAAGGGAUAUUCCAGACAACUCCAAGUGAAAAAAGAAGUGAAUUUAAAAAGGCUUUAUUAUCUUAGGGCUAAAACAUGAUUAAAAGAGCCAACAUGUUUCGACCGCACUGGUCUUCAUCAGGGCUUUGUCUCUGGACAAGGUGUAUGGCUUCACCUAUAAAGUGACAAUGGCAAACAGGCAAACUGACCAAUGACCCCUUAAAUAAAUAGGCCUGACACCAUUUGAAUACAUUUGAAUAGGUAGGCCUAAAGGAGACUGCAGUCACCAAUCCACCAAUGGAUACUUUUUUACUCACUAUUGUAAUAUGUUUCAUCAUGUGCAAUGCCCCCAGUGCAUGGUUAUAAAACCCAUUCAAGGAUUGCAUAUUACCCAUUACUUGCAUGUUACGAAACACACUGGGGCACUCCCAGUAUGACCACUGAUAUGGCACACCACUGUAUGUUUGAAUACUGAAGUUCACUGAAUGCUGUCUAGGCCAGGACAACCCAGAAUUAGCUUGCAAUUUAGCCAAGUGACAUUUUAAUACUAUAACUGGAUACUGAUAUAACUGCUGCACCAGGGUAUUGUCUUAAGCAUAAACUUCAGCAAGUGAUUUGACAAGCAGAUAUUUUCUGUUUUAUUAAGUUAAUUAUAAGCAGAUGCCAGCAGAAAAAGCAAUCAAGUCAGUUUCCUAAGUUUUCUGUAUCUGUCUCUGAUUUGUGCAGCCCAUUGCAGCCUCAGGAAAAAUGCACCUCAACUGAAAUCUGACAAUCUGAAAAAGGAGGACCUAUGUAGCCCAUCAACCCAGACCAUGACCAGACCAUGAAGGAGCUAAGGGCAGCCAUCUUGCAGAGUGGAUUAAAAACAAUGGAAGUCAGUUAUGUCAGUCAGUUAUUUCAGCAAUAGAGGGUAAGUAUACAACACAUGCCAUGAACAUCCAAUGGUGAGUCAUCUUUGCUCUUCAUACUCUAUGCAUUGUGUUCUUCUGUAUAUUUUCAGAAAUUUACCAUGACAGAUACACUUGUAAU